AACGAACGCUGGCGGCAUGCCUAACACAUGCAAGUCGAACGAGACCUUCGGGUCUAGUGGCGCACGGGUGCGUAACGCGUGGGAAUCUGCCCUUGGGUUCGGAAUAACAGUUAGAAAUGACUGCUAAUACCGGAUGAUGUCUACGGACCAAAGAUUUAUCGCCCAAGGAUGAGCCCGCGUAGGAUUAGGUAGUUGGUGGGGUAAAAGCCUACCAAGCCGACGAUCCUUAGCUGGUCUGAGAGGGUGAUCGGCCACAUUGGGACUGAGCACACGGCCCAGACUCCUACGGGAGGCAGCAGUGGGGAAUAUUGCACAAUGGGCGAAAGCCUGAUCCAGCAAUGCCGCGUGAGUGAUGAAGGCCUUAGGGUUGUAAAGCUCUUUUACCCGGGAUGAUAAUGACAGUACCGGGAGAAUAAGCUCCGGCUAACUCCGUGCCAGCAGCCGCAGUAA
rnacentral:rRNA from 1 species